rnacentral:rRNA from 1 species
ACGUUGAUAGGCCGGGUGUGUAAGCGCAUCGAUACGUUGAGCUAACCGGUACUAAUGAACCGUGAGGCUUAACCUUACAACGCCGAAG